rnacentral:rRNA from 1 species
UGGCUCAGAUUGAACGCUGGCGGCAGGCCUAACACAUGCAAGUCGAGCGGAUGAAGGGAGCUUGCUCCUGGAUUCAGCGGCGGACGGGUGAGUAAUGCCUAGGAAUCUGCCUGGUAGUGGGGGAUAACGUCCGGAAACGGGCGCUAAUACCGCAUACGUCCUGAGGGAGAAAGUGGGGGAUCUUCGGACCUCACGCUAUCAGAUGAGCCUAGGUCGGAUUAGCUAGUUGGUGGGGUAAAGGCCUACCAAGGCGACGAUCCGUAACUGGUCUGAGAGGAUGAUCAGUCACACUGGAACUGAGACACGGUCCAGACUCCUACGGGAGGCAGCAGUGGGGAAUAUUGGACAAUGGGCGAAAGCCUGAUCCAGCCAUGCCGCGUGUGUGAAGAAGGUCUUCGGAUUGUAAAGCACUUUAAGUUGGGAGGAAGGGCAGUAAGUUAAUACCUUGCUGUUUUGA